rnacentral:misc_RNA from 1 species
CUUUCUUUCCCUCCUCGUCUUUCUCUUUUUUGGACACUACUUUAUCAAGGAUAGAAAAGAAAAAAACUGUCUACAUUUGCCAUUUAUCUUUCCCAAAUUGAUGUCUGCUUUGUAUAAGGUUAUCUAGGAGCUGAUUUAUAGCUCUUUCUGACUUUAAAUCUACAUAUGAUAACGUCCAGUUGUGUGUAAUGGGUCCUACUAGAGAAAAUAAAAGUAAAUUUAUGCAUAUUUUUACCGCACUAUAAAAAAUUUGAACUAAUAUGUAUACUUUGUGUCAUCUUUAGGAAAGGGAGCUGUUCCAUUUGUUCUUCAGCUGCUGAUGUUGACCGCAAGACCAAAAAA